AGCGCAGGCGGGAAACUAAGCGGAUCUUAAAAGUGCGGGGCUCAACCCCGUGAUGGGGUCCGAACUGGUUUUCUUGAGUGCAGGAGAGGAAAGCGGAAUUCCCAGUGUAGCGGUGAAAUGCGUAGAUAUUGGGAAGAACACCAGUGGCGAAGGCGGCUUUCUGGACUGUAACUGACGUUGAGGCUCGAAAGUGUGGGUAGCAAACA
rnacentral:rRNA from 1 species